rnacentral:rRNA from 1 species
UCACUCUAGCGAGACUGCCGGUAAUAAACCGGAGGAAGGUGGGGAUGACGUCAAAUCAUCAUGCCCCUUAUGACCUGGGCUACACACGUGCUACAAUGGCUGGUACAACGAGUCGCAAGCCGGUGACGGCAAGCUAAUCUCUUAAAGCCAGUCUCAGUUCGGAUUGUAGGCUGCAACUCGCCUACAUGAAGUCGGAAUCGCUAGUAAUCGCGGAUCAGCACGCCGCGGUGAAUACGUUCCCGGGCCUUGUACACACCGCCCGUCACACCACGAGAGUUUGUAACACCCGAAGUCGGUGAGGUAACCUUUUAGGAGCCAGCCGCCUAAGGUGGGAUAGAUGAUUGGGGUGAAGUCGUAACAAGGUAACCGUA